rnacentral:rRNA from 1 species
GUCCCAGCCGUAAACGAUGGACACUAGGUGUUGGUGGUAUCAACCCCGCCAGUGCCGUAGCUAACGCAUUAAGUGUCCCGCCUGGGGAGUACGGCCGCAAGGCUAAAACUCAAAGGAAUUGACGGGGCCCGCACAAGCAGCGGAGCGUGGGGUUUAAUUCGAUGCGACGCGAAGAACCUUACCAAGGCUUGACAUGACCAGGAAGUCGGCGGAAACGUCGGUGUCCCCGCAAGGGGACCUGGCCACAGGUGUUGCAUGGCUGUCGU